CCCCUAGAUGUUCUGGGCCGCACGCGCGCUACACUGAACAGUUCAACAAGUCUUAACCUUGGCCGAUAGGUCUGGGUAAUCUUUGAACGCUGUUCGUGAUUGGGAUAGACCUUUGCAAUUAUGGGUCUUCAACGAGGAAUUCCUAGUAAACGCAAGUCAUCAGCUUGCAUUGAUUACGUCCCUGCCCUUUGUACACACCGCCCGUCGCACCUACCGAUUGAAUGGUCCGGUGAAGCCUCGGGAUUGUGGCUGGUUUCCUUUAUUGGAGGUCGGUCGCGAGAACUUGUCUAAACCUUAUCAUUUAGAGGAAGGUGAAGUCGUAACA
rnacentral:rRNA from 1 species